UUCGUGCCACACCGGGUGUGGUCACACACCGCGGGCGGAAGGAGGAAGAGGCUGAGAGCAGAACUGCGUGCUAACAUGGAGCCAUGAAUUUGGGGCUGUCCUAAGUGUGCAACUGUUUCCUUUACAUCUGCCUGCUCUGCUUCUCCAGCCUGGCCGGCGGGAAUGUACGCUUUACACGGGAACACACUGCAAGCCCACGUGAGCCACCAAGGACACCUCUUGGCAGCUCUUUCAAGAACGCUUUCAUGUGGCGUGGAACAAAGACAUCUGUAGCAAGAGAUCACAGAUCAGCACAUUAGACAGCUGGGGCCAUGCCUUUGGGUGUUUUAAAGUGUGCUGCUAUAUUAUAGACAUGUCACUGGCAUCACCACCGUGGACAGGUCACCACCGUCUUAACCAUUCUUUGUUGCCACCACUCUGUAAUUCACUCAUUCGGCCUGUUUGGAAGAACGCGUGGAGGAGGGGACUGCCAGAGUUCCUAGCCCCCAGGAGUUAAUGUUCUUUCAGAAUCAACAGGAAAGUGUCGGUGCCGUGAGUCGGGUAAGGAGUCGUAGCAUGCACUGCACGAGGAGCUGCUAGUCAGGGACAUGGCAAAGCAAGGCACUAAAGGAUCGCCAGGGGCGUAUAGAAGUCGGCAGAGGAAACAUUACGUCGUGGUGCCAAGAUUCCGAAAAUAAUGCAAACCUGUCGUCCAGUUAAGAUGAGACACACAGCAACUCGGAAGCAUUUCUGACCUGGGAGUUGCCUACGAAGCACGUCUUUCAUCUCUGCGUUCUGUGAGCUGCGUCGUGCGGACAAGGGACCGAGCUCCCAGGGAAGGUUGUGAGCGGAGGAAGGAACGAGUGAGCCGAAGGAGCAUUCUGCUUUCCCAGGCUGCUCUUCUGCAACAAAGUACAACAUUGUGAUUUCCUGGUCAGAAAGAAUCGGUAAUCAGUACACGUUCACUGGGCGGGAAAGCUGCUCUGAUUUAAAAGAGUGUCAACACUGCAUUCACCGCGUACUUACUGCAAAGCAAGGACAGUGUAAACGUGGUUCAGAAUGAUCCCAAGCCUCAGAUGUCCCACACGCAGUGGCACUCAGAGAAAGUCUCUAAUCGAACAGAACACCAGGAAACAUUCUUCCGAAUCAGUAGCCUUGUGGAGAACAGUGUGAGCUGCACCGAUUGUCUACCGAUAAGAACCCUUCCCGACAGUUCUGUGAGGUUCGUGGGCUUGGGAAGACAAGAGCACGGGGGAAUGAUGCCGGUGGGGGAGAAGACUCCUGACCUGUGGUGAGGCCGCAUUAGGAGGGGAAAGCUGAGGACCACGGGAGGAAACCUGCAUCGACCACCCUCUGGUCCUCACACCAGCACACGCCCUGAAUCAUCUACACAACGAUUCAAAGGAAAGCGACACACGUGACCCAGGUUCUAAGGUACAAUGUUGUACUUUAAACAGUUCAAAUAAACGUUUGGAUCCCCAAGAACAUUUAUGAGGUUCCAGUCUUCUGCACCCAAAUCCAGUGUGUGUACUGGGGGUUUAUCACACUGCCGGCUGACCUCAAACACCACCAGGGUGUCCUACAGUUCAGCUCAGUUCGGACACCAUCUACCCUAAGACGGCAUCGGAUCCCCUAGGGACACCAUCCACGUCAGGGGGGGCGUCCCCUCUGACACCGUCUACACCAUGUCCCUGCAGACGGUAUCGGAUCCCCUACGGACACCAUCCAUGUGGGGGGGUGCAUCUCCCUCUGACACCGUCUACACCAUGUCCCUGCAGAUGGUAUUGGACCCCCUAGGGACACCGUCCACGUCAGGGGGACAUCCCCCUCUCACACCGUCUACACCAUCUCCUUGGAGAUGGUAUCGGAUCCUCUACGGACACCAUCCAUGUCAGGGGGACCAUCCCCUCUGACACCGUCUACACCAUGUCCCUACAGAUGGCAUCAGAUCCCCUAUAGACACCAUCCACGUCGGGGAGGAGGGUGUCCCACUCUGACACCAUCUACACCAUCUCCCUGCAGAGCGUUGGAUCUUCUAGGGUAAGGGCUCAGUCCUAUAGGGCUGCCCCCCCCCCCCACUUCAGAGACCAAUCACA